AGCAAACGCUGUAUUAAUGCAGUGGUGUUACCUCUUGUCUUCCUAGUCCUCACAGAUGCGUAUUAGAAAUGGAACUGAAUAAAAUCAUCCUCCGCCCAGGUCACACUGAAAACCUUCCUCAGCACUUCAUCCUUCUCGGACGACAGUUCAGAGGACAUGUUUAGCCUCUCUGCACAGGACAGGUUCUCCCUCUCGGAGAUGCACACAGCUUUGAAGUGCCUCAGCCAAGUCAUCAGUGCACAAGUUUUGAAGGCAGACCAUCAUACUCUACCAUUCUACCCUUCCUGGUAGCAAAGGAGAUUGUCUGAGAAGCUGCAAGUCUGACAAUCAAUGCAUACUCAAUAAAUAUUUCUCUCGAGCUGCAUAAAAAUACAAUCUAUUUCCAGAACCUCAACAGUCCAAUGAUGGCAAAAGCCACAUCAGCUAUGUAGGGCCACUCCUUUUCUAAGAGAUUCUGAAUUAGUGCCGGUUGAGACAUUUUGCCUGACCUUUCUUUUUAAAGGCUCCAGACAGAGUUAGUCUUAUCUGUCAGCACAUUACUUCA